rnacentral:rRNA from 1 species
AUUGAACGCUGGCGGCAGGCCUAACACAUGCAAGUCGAACGAGUGGCGGACGGGUGAGUAAUGUCUGGGAAACUGCAUGAUGGAGGGGGAUAACUACUGGAAACGGUAGCUAAUACCGCAUACCAUCGGAUGUGCCCAGAUGGGAUUAGCUAGUAGGGGGGGUAAAGGCUAACCUAGGCGACGAUCCCUAGCUGGUCUGAGAGGAUGACCAGCCACAAGUGAACUGAGACACGGUCCAGACGCCUACGGGAGGCAGCAGUGGGGAAUAGUGCACAAGGGGCGCAAGCCUGAUGCAGCCAUGCCGCGGGUAUGAAGAAGGCCCUCGGGUUGUAAAGUACUUUCAGCGGGGAGGCGUUACCCGCAGAAGAAGCACCGGCUAACUCCGUGCCAGCAGCCGCGGUAAUAC